GACGAACGCUGGCGGCGUGCUUAACACAUGCAAGUCGAACGGUGAACCCCUUCGGGGUGGAUCAGUGGCGAACGGGUGAGUAACACGUGAGCAACCUGCCCCUGGCUCUGGGACAACCACUGGAAACGGUGGCUAAUACCGGAUACGACCCGCCUCGGCAUCGAGUGUGGGUGGAAAGUUUUUCGGCUGGGGAUGGGCUCGCGGCCUAUCAGCUUGUUGGUGAGGUGAAGGCUCACCAAGGCGACGACGGGUAGCCGGCCUGAGAGGGCGACCGGCCACACUGGGACUGAGACACGGCCCAGACUCCUACGGGAGGCAGCAGUGGGGAAUAUUGCACAAUGGGCGAAAGCCUGAUGCAGCGACGCCGCGUGAGGGAUGACGGCCUUCGGGUUGUAAACCUCUUUCAGCUCCGAAGAAGCGAAAGUGACGGUAGGAGCAGAAGAAGCACCGGCUAACUACGUG
rnacentral:rRNA from 1 species